GGUUCCCGCUGAGGGAAUCUUUUGUUGGCUCUAAAAUGGCCAGGUGAAUAAGGGGAGGGCAAGUCUGGUGUCAGCCGCCGCGGUAAUACCAGCUCCUCGAGUGGUCGGGGCGAUUAUUGGGCCUAAAGCAUCCGUAGCCUGUUCCGUAGGUCUUCUGUUAAAUCCAACGGCUUAACCGUUGGCCUGCAGAAGAUACCGCGGGACUAGGAGGCGGGAGAGGUGGACGGUACUCCACGUGUAGGGGUAAAAUCCUUUGAUCCGUGGAAGACCACCAGUGGCGAAGGCGGUCCACCAGAACGCGCUCGACGGUGAGGGAUGAAAGCUGGGGGAGCGAACCGGAUUAGAUACCCGGGUAGUCCCAGCCGUAAACGAUGCGAGCUAGAUGAUCCAAUCGCAAAUCGCGAUUGGAGUGUCGCAGGGAAGCCGUUAAGCUCGCCGCCUGGGGAGUACGGUCGCAAGACUGAAACUUAAAGGAAUUGGCGGG
rnacentral:rRNA from 1 species